rnacentral:tRNA from 1 species
GCCUUCGGGUGCAAUGGUAGCACACUCGGCGGUAUUCGAGAGGCCCAGGUUCGAAUCCUGGUGAGGGCA